GGCCCAGACUCCUACGGGAGGCAGCAGUGGGGAAUAUUGCACAAUGGGCGAAAGCCUGAUGCAGCAACGCCGCGUGAGGGAUGACGGCCUUCGGGUUGUAAACCUCUUUUAGCAGGGAAGAAGCGAAAGUGACGGUACCUGCAGAAAAAGCGCCGGCUAACUACGUGCCAGCAGCCGCGGUAAUACGUAGGGCGCAAGCGUUAUCCGGAAUUAUUGGGCGUAAAGAGCUCGUAGGCGGUUUGUCGCGUCUGCUGUGAAAUCCCGAGGCUCAACCUCGGGCCUGCAGUGGGUACGGGCAGACUAGAGUGCGGUAGGGGAGAUUGGAAUUCCUGGUGUAGCGGUGGAAUGCGCAGAUAUCAGGAGGAACACCGAUGGCGAAGGCAGAUCUCUGGGCCGUAACUGACGC
rnacentral:rRNA from 1 species